rnacentral:rRNA from 1 species
GAACGCUAUCGGUAUGCUUAACACAUGCAAGUCGAACGGACUAAUUGGGGCUUGCUCCAAUUAGUUAGUGGCAGACGGGUGAGUAACACGUGGGAAUCUACCCAUCAGUACGGAAUAACUUUUAGAAAUAAAAGCUAAUACCGUAUAUUCUCUACGGAGGAAAGAUUUAUCGCUAAUGGAUGAGCCCGCGUCAGAUUAGGUAGUUGGUGAGGUAACGGCUCACCAAGCCGACGAUCUGUAGCUGGUCUGAGAGGAUGAUCAGCCACACUGGGACUGAGACACGGCC